GGGGUUGUGGCUUAGCGGUAGAGCACUUGCCUAGCACUUGCAAGGCACUGGGUUCGAUCCUCAGCACCA
rfam:Ictidomys tridecemlineatus contig057534, whole genome shotgun sequence.